AUUGAACGCUGGCGGCAGGCCUAACACAUGCAAGUCGAGCGAGCGGCGGACGGGUGAGUAAUGUAUGGGGACUGCCCGAUCGCGGGGGAUAACUACUGGAAACGGUAGCUAAUAACGCAUAAUAUCGGAUAACACAUAGGGGAUUGGCUAGUAGGUGGGGUAAUGGCGCACCACGGCGACGAUCCCUAGCUGGUCUGAGAGGAUGAUCAGCAACACGGGGACUGAGACACGGCCCAGACUCCUACGGAGGCAGCAGUGGGGAAUAUUGCACAAUGGGCGCAAGCCUGAUGCAGCCAUGCCGCGUGUAUGAAGAAGGCCCUAGGGUUGUAAAGUACUUUCAGUCGGGAGGCGUUACCGACAGAAGAAGCACCGGCUAACUCCGUGCCAGCAGCCGCGGUAAUUC
rnacentral:rRNA from 1 species